GAUGAACGCUGGCGGCGUGCCUAAUACAUGCAAGUCGAGCGAACAGACGAGGAGCUUGCUCCUCUGACGUUAGCGGCGGACGGGUGAGUAACACGUGGAUAACCUACCUAUAAUACUGGGAUAACUUCGGGAAACCGGAUCUAAUACCGGAUAAUAUAUUGAACCGCAUGGUUCAAUAGUGAAAGACGGUUUUGCUGUCACUUAUAGAUGGAUCCGCGCCGCAUUAGCUAGUUGGUAAGGUAACGGCUUACCAGGGCAACGAUGCGUAGCCGACCUGAGAGGGUGAUAGGCCGCCCUGGAACGUAGACGCGCACAAGACUACUGAGGGACGGCGCAGAAGGCAACCUGACGCAGCAGGCGAGAGUCUGACGGAGCGACGGGGCGCGUGUGACGACGGCGCUGGGUGGGUAAAGCUCUGCUACUAGGGAUGAACACAUGUGUCCGUAAAUAUGGACGUUCUGACGGUACCUAAUGAGAAAGCAACGGCUAACUACGUG
rnacentral:rRNA from 1 species